rnacentral:tmRNA from 1 species
GGGCUUGUAAAGGUUUCGACGGGGGUUUUGAAGUUGGAGCAGCCAUCCGAAGGUACCGCGUAAGGUGCAAACUUAAAUAUAAACGCUGAAGAUAAUUUAGCAGUCGCUGCCUAACGGCAGCUGUCUGACGCAGAGCACCUGCACUUUGCGGCCCAGGCAUCGACGAUGCAGGAAACGACAUAUGCUAAGCUUUGCGCAUAUGGGCGUAUCAUGAAGCUACUGAAGCCGUAAGCCUGCCGGUUGGCGUACGGCGGAGGGAAUGUCAAAUAAGCGGCUGUGAUGGGAGAUACUGCAAUGGAUGGGCUUUCGGACGCGGGUUCGAUUCCCGCCAGGUCCAGUA